rnacentral:rRNA from 1 species
GACGAACGCUGGCGGCGUGCUUAACACAUGCAAGUCGAACGGAAAGGCCCUGCUUUUGUGGGGUGCUCGAGUGGCGAACGGGUGAGUAACACGUGAGUAACCUGCCCUUGACUUUGGGAUAACUUCAGGAAACUGGGGCUAAUACCGGAUAGGAGCUCCUGCUGCAUGGUGGGGGUUGGAAAGUUUCGGCGGUUGGGGAUGGACUCGCGGCUUAUCAGCUUGUUGGUGGGGUAGUGGCUUACCAAGGCUUUGACGGGUAGCCGGCCUGAGAGGGUGACCGGCCACAUGGGGACUGGGAUACGACCCAGACUCCACGGGAGGCAGCAGUGGGGAAUAUUGCACAAUGGGCGGAAGCCUGAUGCAGCAACGCCGCGUGCGGGAUGACGGCCUUCGGGUUGUAAACCGCUUUCGCCUGUGACGAAGCGUGAGUGACGGUAAUGGGUAAAGAAGCACCGGCUAACUACGUG